CCUACGGGAGGCAGCAGUAGGGAAUCUUCCACAGUGGACGAAAGUCUGAUGGAGCAACGCCGCGUGAACGAUGAAGGCCUUCGGGUCGUAAAGUUCUGUUGUAAGGGAAGAACAAGUGCCGCAGGCAAUGGCGGCACCUUGACGGUACCUUGCGAGAAAGCCACGGCUAACUACGUGCCAGCAGCCGCGGUAAUACGUAGGUGGCAAGCGUUGUCCGGAAUUAUUGGGCGUAAAGCGCGCGCAGGCGGCCUCUUAAGUCUGAUGUGAAAGCCCCCGGCUCAACCGGGGAGGGCCAUUGGAAACUGGGAGGCUUGAGUAUAGGAAAGAAGAGUGGAAUUCCACGUGUAGCGGUGAAAUGCGUAGAGAUGUGGAGGAACACCAGUGGCGAAGGCGACUCUUUGGCCUAUAACUGACGCUGAGGCGCGAAAGCGUGGGGAGCAAACAGGAUUAKAUACCCUGGUAGUCCACGCCGUAUACGAUGAGUGCUAGGUGUUGGAGGSYUUCCGCCCUUCASUGCUGAAGCUAACGCAUUARGCACUCCGCCUGGRGAGUACSSUCGCAAGGCWGAAACUCAAAUGAAUUGACGGGG
rnacentral:rRNA from 1 species